AUGGGCAAGUCAAUUUGGCUACCCAAGCCAUGCUGGGUCUACUGCCAUUUCAUUCAUUCUAGUGCUAAACAGAAUUUACAGCUCCGGAGAUCAGGUCAGCACCUUGCUAUAACGUACAUGCACACUGAAAUAUUGGUGCUUACCUUGACAAGGAGCAUUGUGUUUGUGCGCUCAAGGCAUCGUCAGAGUACCCUGGCCUUUUGCACUUCACCUGCCCUUGCGGUGCUAUCAAGCCUCAGCGGCAUGGCAUGUCGCACUUUCUACAAUCAGUGGCAACCUUCAUCAAUAGCAUUCCUUUUAUAUGCAUGUAGACAGUUGACUGCAUCACUGAUGCAACCUACACUUCCUAUUUAUUUACAUAUAAAAGUUGGGGCGGGGGGAAACCCCUUUUGGUUCAAAAAAAAACUUCCUAUUUACAGGUACAAGAGGUGUGAUGCAUUCCAGAUACGUAACAAAUAUAAGCAAAUGCCAUGUAAUGCCUCCGUGAAUCAACCUUUUAUAGCCCACGCAUAUAGUAUCAUAAGUUAA
rnacentral:rRNA from 1 species